UACGGAGGAUGUAAGCGUUAUCCGGCAUGAUUGGGCGUAAAGCGUCCGCAGGUGGCUAUGUAAGUCUGCUGUUAAAGAGUGAGGCUCAACCUCAUAAGAGCAGUGGAAACUACAUAGCUAGAGUACGUUCGGGGCAGAGGGAAUUCCUGGUGUAGCGGUGAAAUGCGUAGAGAUCAGGAAGAACACCGGUGGCGAAGGCGCUCUGCUAGGCCGCAACUGACACUGAGGGACGAAAGCUAGGGGAGCGAAUGGG
rnacentral:rRNA from 1 species